CACACAAAGCCUGUUUGGUGGUCUCUUCACACGGACACACAUGAAAUUUAGUGCCGUGACUCGGAUCGGGGGUCCUCCCUUGGGAGAUCAAUCCCCCGUCCUCCUGUUCUUUGCUCCGUGAGAAAGAUCCACCUACGACCUCAGGUCCUCAGACCGACCAGCCCAACGAACAUCUCACCUAUUUUAAAUCAGGACCUACCAGUCUGCCCUGCUCAUACUUGAUCUGGAUGAGACUGAUACCCUGCGAGACGCAACAGAAUCAGCUCCUGGGAUUGUGUUAGCAGAAUGACGGGAGUGUGAGAUCCACCACAUGGCGAGGCACCCCAGGAACCUGUUUUCUUCUUGAAGAGCAACCGAGAACUAUUUCCAAGUUAUCCUUCACUUUGAGGACAGCAUGGAGGUGUCUGAUUUCUGCUUGGGCUGAGGAUUCAGGAGAAGAUGUGUGGAACACAGCCUGGACAUGCCCCAACCUGGUUGAUGAAUUCCACCCCAAGUAGUGGAAGAAACACACCUACAACAUGAGCAGAGAAGAUUUUUCUUCUGUACUUUCCAGGACUUGAAGCUGCUUUGUUUUUUGGUCGCUGGGUGGGGAAGGAGGAGCAAUAGUAUAGCUUCCAGAAGAGAGAAGAGAUAUCUCUUGAGUGUGAAUUAAGCAGUACCAAGAGGCCUCAAGCUAGCUGUCUCUCCUGCUUUAAAUUCUACUGUUAAGAGUUUUUCUUUAAGUUUAAAACCUUGAAAGCUCCAUGAUGCUCCUGAGUAGAACAAUAAAGCCAUUAGUAGUCAA
rnacentral:lncRNA from 1 species